rnacentral:lncRNA from 1 species
ACUAAAUAUUACUAGCAAACAAGAGGAGUACCCAUAGGCAGCCCCUUAGCAGCACCUGUGGCCAAAAUUAUCCUGAGAAAUAUAGAAAGCCAAGUCUUGCGCAAGGUUAAUGCUGAAUUUAAAGAAAUACAUCAGAUAUGUCGAUGACAUUUUAACAGUCUGGAAAAAUAAAUGUAGCAUCGAUGAUUUUCAACAGGCCCUAAUACUAGAACAGUUUGGCUUAGCACUUAUAAAAAAAAUAGAUCAGCAAUAAAAAAGUACAUUAUCUAGACAUAAACAUAAGAAUAGAGGGAUCAGAGAUAAGAACUUCAGUUUAUAGAAACCAGUCCUAUCAACCAGUGCUAAUCCUAAGAUGGUUUCCAGGUCCGAUGCCUCAUAAAUCUGCAGCAUUCAACUUUUAUUUUAAAACGGCAUAUGACUACACAACUGAGAACCAUGAACUGCAAAACGAACUUACUUAUAUAUACAGAGUGGGGUACAAACACGGUUACACUAAGAGCUUCUUGGACACUAUACACUGUAAAGUUAAGAAAACACACAAAAAUGAAAGAGAAAGCACCGAUGGAAGAGGAAUAGAAAGAAAAGAUUACAUAACCAUACCAUACCAGACAAGCAAGCUUAACAUUCUAAAAGAAAUCAUGAGGAAAACAAAAGAAAAUAGCCACGAGUAGACCACCAACAUUCUACAACACUCUAAGAAAUGGAAAAGACCCAAGAGGCCAGUAUGAAAGACCAGGAGUGUACAGCAUACCAAUCAAUUACCCCACCGAAAACAGGGAAGCCAACUAUAUAGGUGUUACAACUAGAACUCUCAGACAGAGGUUAAACGAGCACAAAAAAAAAUAUAGAGGCAGGAAGGACAAUGACAACAUUGGCAGAAGUG